rnacentral:lncRNA from 1 species
UAUCUCUUGUAUUCUUCCUAGAACUUCAUUCAUAGCAAGGCUACGCAAUUCAUACUCUAUUUCCUGUAAUCUGUAGAAUCUGUUCUCGGGCACCUGGUAUUGAUGAUUAGUCCAGGAGUAGACGCUCAGUUUGAAUUUUUUUUCUUUUUUUUUUUCCGAAUAGAAAAACGGUUCUCAUAUAAAGCUACUUGUGCAACUGUUUCUGGUAUCCGUCACUAGAUCGGAGUAUUCUCCAUUUUUAAUUAUUAAUAUCUAAAUAGUUAUAUCUAGAGAUCUUGAUCUAAGGAUGCCAGUGUUUGGCGAAUUUAUGUAAAUAAUGGCAAAAGAACAAAUCAUGACAAAUUUGAUGUUCCGGAGAAAGUAGUUUCUUAGCUUCUUAGCAAGGGUCGCUGCAAAUGAGAGCGUUGAACAAAAUUGAAUUUAUAUUAGCUUUUAUUAAAAUAUAAGUCGCACAACUUAUAGGAAUAUAUAUAUUUUUUAAUGUAAGUCGCAUGGUAAUUUAUAGAAAUAUAAUUUUUGGCGCCAUCAUUGUAGAUGCUAGCAUUCACAUUUGAUUAGCCUAAGUUUCUAAUUUUCAUUUCUGUUUACUGUAGAAAUCGAUAUGUUUUUCGUAGAAUUUGAUAUGUAUUAGUAGCUAGUAAUUUAACAAUUUCUUCAAGGGAUAUACCUGCUGUGGAUGAUGGUUGUUGUUGCUGAUAUUGAUGUUGAAGACCUAUGGUCUUCCUGUAUAAUUAAAGUUGGAGUUGUUCCACCAUCCUUGAUCAUACAUAUUUGAAUAAGAGUUAUACCACAUUUUAGACAGGGCUGGAAAACCUCCAAAAGUAUUGAUUGCGACUAGAGCUGUUAAAUGGAACGAGCAGCUCGAAAGCCAUUGAGCUCGAUUCAAUAAGGCUUGAGCUCGACUUGUUAAUUGAGAUAAACGGGUCGAGUUCAAGAUUGAGAUAUGCUCGUUUAAUUAACAAGUCGAGCUUAACAAGCUGAGUAAGUUCGACUCGUUUGUUAUCUGAGUAGUUCGACUCGUUUGUUAUCUGAGUAGUUCGCUUAGGCUCGAUAACGAAUGGUACAUAUGUCAUUUCACAAUUCAAAAGUAUAAAAAUUGAAAAUUAUAGACUUUAUUGCAGUCAAUUUGCACGAGCUCGUACAAGCUCGGAUCGUUUGUGAUAAACAAGUCGAGCUCGAGCUUGAGCUCAAGCCACAUGUUUCAUUUGGCAAGUCGAGUCCGAGCACAUUUCAAAGCUCAUCCGUCGAGUCGAGCGAGCUCGAGCUUGGUUCGAGUUAAGUUCGAGUUGAGUUCGGCAGCCAAAUACUCGACUUGACUAACAGCACUAAUUGCGACACAAGUCAUUUUGAAAUGCAAGACACAUAUCGGUUGAAUGAUCCGAGACAUAACAAAUUUCACAGGUUGCAACAGCCAAUUUUUCUACAAGAGAGGUUAAUGUAUGUAAAUGUUGAUUAUUAGAAAAGACACGAGCUUCAUUAACCCUUCUAAGAAUAAAAUUCAGUCUAUCACCAAAAUAUUGAAUAUUAGCAGUCAUAAAUUAGUAAAAAAAUAAGAGAAAAAUAAAAAUUAAAAUAAGAUGAAUUCAAAAAGGAACAAAUUAAUCAAGUACAGUCCCCGGCAAUGGCGCUAAAAAUUGACAGUUGUCAAACUUGUGUAAUCAUAAAUACCUAAUCAAAUAAAAUACAAAUUUUUGUAUAUAACAGUGACUAAGGUCGAAUUCACAAGGACUGGAAAAAAUUUGUUUACGGGGGAUUUUUAUAAAAUUGGGAAUAAUUAAAGAACUCAAAUAAAAAGGACUAAAUUACAAUUAAUUGAAAUUGAAUUAAUAAUAAACAAACUCUAGCCAAGAAAUAAUUUUGAAAAUGGUUCACUCAAUUGGUCAUUGAUGCAAUAAUAACUUCAUUUGCUCACUGAUAAACAAGUUAUAACUACCAAAUAAACGAUGACAAUCAACUUCUCCUUACUGUAUUGAUAGUUAAGGUACGGUCGUUAACCACUGUCUUAAUCAAGAAAUAAUACUAGAUACGACUUUAGAGUUCAAUUUCCAAAUUGCUUUAAGAAUUAGAGAAGUCUUGUUCUAAUCAAAUAACACGUUACAAGGGUUAUUUUAAGUUAGCCCAUACGUCCCCCUGACACAAACUCAAUCAUGUCAAUUACCACUAGUUUAAAACAAUUAAACAAUUACGAAUUUAAUUGUUCUAAUUGGUUUUAAAUUAUUAUAUUAAUUUAAAUACCGGCCCUGAAUAUUCAAACAACAUAAUAAUCGUAAGAAAUUAAAUCAGGGAACAUACAAAUACUAGUAGUAAAAGAAAUAAAUAUAAUCAAUACGAUUUCACAAUUUUAGUUGAACGAAGUCCUCCGUUGUUCAUUGACUAGAAUGAAAAGUUUAGCUCACCUCCACCAAAAAAGCCACAUGCAAAAUAUUUGGAUCAAUUGCCGAGACCAUUCUCCAAAAAUAUGAGAUAAAGUGUUAAGAGGAAAAGAAGAAAAGCAAAAGAAACAUCGUUCUUUUUCCUUCGGGAAAGAAAAAGAUGACGAUCCUAUUCCCUUGGCUUCGUUCUCCAAUAUCUACUAAAAUUCCUUUCCUAAACGAAAACAAACUCCUAAUAGGCAAUAGAUUCUUUUCAAAAAAUCAAGAUAGAUAGACUAGAUUAGUGUUCUAUCAAAAGUGAAAAAUUAUCCAUUCGGUGUAGAGACUCUGAUCCUCACAACUUCGAUUUAAAAUUGGAGAUCUUCUCACGUGCCAAAUCUCAAGCUUCCCAGACGUGCAGGUAAGACUUUGACAUGCUCGCGCUAAACUGCACAAAGGUCUAGUUAAAAAUCAUGUCUUUAAUUCCUUUUUCCUCCGAAUCCCUACAACCAGUACCAAUUACCAAAUAAGUAGAAUCUAUCAAUUAAUGCAAUAUUUGGCUAAAAUCAAGAAAAAAUAAUCAUAAAUUUAAUAACAAAAAUGUAACCUGUCAGCGAUCAACAAGGGAGGGGUUUAGGAGGGGGAAGAGAGGGGAGGGGGGUGACUAGGGAGGGAAGGGAAGGAGGGAGGAGCAAGGAGAGAGAAGGAGAGAGAGGAAGAAGAAGAAGAGGGAGGUAGGAGAGAGGAGGGGGACAGUGCUAGCGGUGUUAGAGGUGGAAGGGUGGUGACAGUGGAAGUGGCAGUGAAGGGUGAUGGGAGGUGACGGUGGUGAGUAAUGUGUGGAAGCAAAAAGAUGGAAUUUUUUUUUGGCCGUUUUUAGGUGUAUUUGAAAGGUUGUAUUUUUGGAAUUGUUUUUCAUGGAUGUGCCUUUGUCAUACAUAACCAGAAUAGUUGGAGUCUCUUUGCCAGAGAAGGAGGUAUUAUGUUUUGUGUCAUUUGUUUUCUGUACUCAUCUUUGCUUAAUAAUCCUGAACUUGCAUCCUCUUAAUUACUAGACCAUCAAACUUCUAAAUAGAUUGGAUACAUUAACUAUCUUCAGCAGUAAAUUUGUCUGCCUUUUCAAGUGAUUUCUUUUGCUGCACUCAAGAUGUGCGACGAAUUGUUGUCAACUACAGAGCUCUUCUUUCCAUUCUUCUGUCUCUUCCCUAGUCUCUGAGCUAGAAUAGCUUCCCUUUCUGGUUUUGUAGCUACAACAUGACCUAAUGCAUUCAACUGCACAUGGUUUGAAGCGUUACCGCCUCCUACUGCUUUAUACAGGUCUUUUUAUGUUAAGCAGUUGUACAGGCUAGACUGAGAGCUGAUGGGUGGGUUUUCAAUAUUUACAUAUAAUCAUGAAUCAUCAUUUUUUGCUAGUGUAAUCUGGCAGUAGUUGCAAAGUUUGUAAUCAAAUUAAAGAGCAUCUUCUAGAAGUUGCUCCUUGAUUCCUUGAAAACUGGAGCUUUUUGAAGUAGCAACAGGUCAGUAAAUGAAAAAAUUAUUUUCUAAUGUUUCUUUUAUAGGUCAGGUCAAAAUGAUUUUAAGGCUUUUAAGCUGACUUUCAUCUGGCUAUCUUUUCAAGUUACUAUUGUAUGUUAUUGUCUAUUAGCAAAUAAGUCUUUCUAUUAAAUUAGUUAUUGCCAAAUUGACAGUGAUGAGGUAAAUUCAAAUUCAUGAACUUGACAGGUUGAAAUUUUUGCUGCUUACGGACGUUGAAAUUUCAUUAAAAUUUUCCAAACUUCUAAAAGGAUGUAUGUGCAUCUUAUAUUAUGGCCUAGCACUACUAUGCUAAGUUUUUGGCUGCCAGAAGCCUCAAUAGUUCUGAGAUUUGUGUUCCUGCUUUUCUUACUCAUGCCUUUUUUUCAUGUUUUCGGGAUGAGGAAUGAAAUAAAAAUUAGACAUAUGAAACUCUCUUUGCAUCCACUCUUUUCCAACCCACUUUAAAAGUUGUGAUUGGCUAUACUUUCUUAAAACCAGAACUUAAAAAAUCUGCUUGUUCUAAACUUGUUUACCAGGUUCAUUAUAGAUUCAGUUUAAGGGUUUGAAAAAGUUUGAUUAUACUAGCUGAGUUUGGAUUGUUAAUGUGCAAUUAACUGUAUAGUUGUGGGAUUGUAACAACCUUUAAAUCUACCAUAUGUUUCGGUUAGAAUAAACUCUAGCAUGAUAAUGCCUUGGUAGUGAUAUUCAUCUUGAUAUGUUCAAGUCUGUAUGUGUCACAUUUAGUCACAGGUAUACAAAAGUCUGGCUAUAUACAUUAUUAUACAUCAAUUAUUCUUAUGUACAUAUCCUUGUCAACCAGAAUCUAUUAAUACACACAAGAAUGAUGAAUUGAAUACUGCACAAUGGCAUAAACAAAUACUCGAACUAAAUGAUUUUAAAUAAAAAAUAAAUCUACCUGCUUGCAUUAUGCGUCUAUAGAUUGCAUGAUGCACAGUUGGAUGGGAUAAUCACUUCCUCUUUAUAGUCAUUCUUUCUGUUUAAGAACUGCAUCCCACCCACUAUUUAACUAAAGGCUGGAAAAUAAGAGGUGCUUGCUGUAUAUUUUUCUGUGUAAAACUGUGUUUUCAUGUUCUGGCCACCUACAUCCUCACUAAUUUGACAGGGUCAACUUGUUUCAGGUAGCCAGUUUACUAUAUAGAAUGCAAUUAGAAGCCAAGCUGUCUAUAUCAGGAGAUGAAACGGUCAACUUUACUGUGUCUGUACCACCUACCAGAAGUGAUAUUCUGCAUCCUUGUGAUGUGGCUGAGGUAGUUUCCUGACUUUUUUUUCCUUUUUAAGACUAAUGCACAUUAUUUGUCAUUUUAUAAUAUCAUUAAUUGACUAUAGCUUUCUUGUUUCUCAAGGAUGUUGCAAUAGCUUAUGGGUACAAUGAAGUACCCAAGACAAAACCUUCAUCUUUGAAGCCAUGUUCGUUGAAUCAGCUGAGUGAUCUAAUCAGGAUGGAGGUAAUGCUUAUGUCAUCCCUUGUGUUAGUCACUGACUUGAUAAAUUAAAGAAUUUUUUUUUUGAAAAUUAUACCCUCAUUUGCUAUGCUUUCAUGUGGUUUGAUAGCCAAUUUUGACAGAUUGGCAACAAGCACAACACUUUUGCAAUUGGGUGGGGAAUUUGGAAAGCAAAAUAUAAUUUUGACCUAAAGUGCGUGUUGUAAUAAUCUAGUAACUGUUAGGUUUUUGCUCUAAUUUUAGAGAAUGAUGUCUAUUGAAAUUAUAAUCUGUGCUAAAUGUGAAUUUAUGUGGAUACAGUGUUUUUUCCUGUUGUGUUAGUGAAGAUGGUCUCGGAUGUUUCACCUUCUAAGCCUGUUCACUUUGUUAGAGAGGAAUAUUCUAUCUUUACUGUCUUUUUGAUAGGUUGGUGUGGGUUGGAGAGAGGGGAGUUCUCAUGACUUAAUAUGUAUAAUAUGUGACUUAUUGGUUUUUUCAAGGUUGCUACCUGUGCAUACUUUGGUAUCUGCUGUUUAGAAAUGCUAAAAUAUUGGAACCUGUUAAUAUCUAAAUUGUGCUCUUGGUGUUUCAAUAAGACAAACCAUGCAUCAUCUUUGAUGGGUUGUGAUUUGCCUUAUUUUUUUGCUUUCAAACAACUUAAAUAUAUGGGGCAGUACACAUCCGUUGAAUUCUGCUAUAGUAAUAAAUGCAGAUCAUUUUUUCUUUUAAUGACAAAAUUAUGGUCAUUUCCUGCGACAAUUUCGUAUACCAGCGAUUCCUUCCCAAAAUAUCUUUACUCGUGCGAACAGCCACUUUUGGCUUCAUGGUUAAGUGUUUCUGACUUCCAUUCUUUUUUUCUUUAAAGGUAGUCAUGCACUGACACAGAGAUCAUGAGUUAGAAGUUUAAACUGAAACACAAGUUAUGAAAUAAGCCACUGGUACAUUGCCAUAAAACAGAUUUUUUUUUCCUAAAACCUUGAAAUCUACCCUUAUGUGAGCUUUCUUACGACUAGAUCACUAUAUGUCUUUUCUUUAGUAAGUUUGAUGGGAAAUAUCUAUUUGUUUAUAAAUCUUGUUACUUGUCAUCUAACCACCCGUAUGACGUACUUAAUGGUUGCCAGCAUGGCCGUUAGCACCGCCUCAAAUGCCAGAUCUUCAAGAAGCGCUGAAACCUUUUGUGGAUUGAACAUGGGUUAGAAGUGUAUUUAAGAAGGCAAAGAAGAACUGGUCUUGCUUGCUAAAAGUCAAAGUUUAAAUGUGGUUAUGCUUAUUUUACAUCACCAUAGCAAGGGAAGAAUAAAGACAGCUACAGGUGGAGAGAGAGAGAGAGAGAGAGAGAGAGAGAAAGAGAGAGAGAGAGAGUGCGUGUGAGAGUGAGAUGAACUGCUGUUUUUGGGUUGCAACAGAGGGGCUAGCUGCUAGCAAAUGGUGGUGCCAGUGAAACACAAGUGGUGAGGGAAACAUAAUUGAUUCAUGUGUUAAAAAAUGAAGAUAGUGGAAAAGUGGAGAAAAAAAGACGAAGAUAAAAGGAAAAGAAUAUAACCUUCUGUCCUUGCUUGUGAAAAUAGUGCAACUGGACCCAAGGGAAUGUUAGUGAAAGAUUUUGAUUCUGUGGAUGAAACCAUGUUAAUGUCUUUGACUCUAGAAAUUCCUGCAGAGAGCUAGAGUAGUUCACUUGUGACAAGGAGGAGUUAAACCAAUUAUCUUAAAGGUAGUUGGACUAAGGGCUCCUUUAAUUUACUUUUCAUUGUCUCUGGUUGGGGGGGAAAAGAUGGAUAUUAUAUAGUUGUUGCUAGAUGUAUUAGAAGGCAAAAGCUUCUCUGGAAUUUUAUCGAAAUUUGAUACAAAGUUAAGUAUAUAAUUUCAAUGGCCAGAAGUGUAAAAAGUUUCUCUUGGUUCUGUAUAAGCAGAAAGAGUUAACAAGGGAGGUUAUUGUUAUUUGAAAAGUAAGAGCAGGUGCUUGUGCAGGGAAAAAUCUCGGGGAAGGCUGUUUUGCCUUAAUUGGAAUACAAUGUUCAGUCGUGCUUAUCUUGAAAAUACCUAGUAGUUUGAAUUUUGCUGAAUUGAUUUGCUAUUUGGUUGUCCUUGUGGUCUCCCAUGGCUUUGCAUAAUAAUACAUUUUUCUCUGUAGUGUGGUCAUAUUUUCAUUAGUAUUGUUCACGUGGAAUAUGAUUUAAUCAGUUCCAUGAUUCUAACUUUGGUUUCGUUUCUUUUUUUGCUUUACAAUUCAGAUUGCAAUGGUUGGUUUCACAGAAGUCCUAACAUGGAUACUUUGCUCAUAUAAAGAGAAUUUCACCAUGCUCAACCGCAAGGAUGAUAAAGCUACAGCAGUAAUCAAUGGAAAUCCUCGUUCUGCUGAUUUUGAGGUUGGUUUUAUUUAUAGUGUGAUCACGUAAAGAUUUAACAUUAUGGUGUUCUUGCUGACUACAUAUAAUGGUUUUUCUUAAAGUUUUUUUUUUGCUUGGAUUUUUCCAAAUUGGUUUCCUGGUCUGGUAAAAUGACGCAAGAGUGGAGAUCUUAUGCAGUCUGUUUUAAAAUGUGUAUUGUGAAGUUUGACCGUGAUGCAUGUUGACAGUAACCAAUUUGUGUUAUGUAUCUUUAUGUCAUUUUAUAAACAUUAGAAAAAUAAAGAAAGGGAUGAACAGUUAUGGAAGAUCUCCUGCAUCUUCAUGGUACCCUUUGCUGAGAAUUGUGACAUCUAGUUUUCAUGAAUAACUUGAUGGUUAUAUUUGAUGUGUUUAGAAGGGAACUUAAUAGGCUGCGCACCUCCUGUAAAUAAGAAAUGGGAGUGCUCUUGCCAGUCUUUUGGAUUAGCAUUGUGGUUCCUUCUAGUUUUCAGUAUAGUCAGUGAUCUUCUCCAUUUUGUUGAGUUGUGCCUCCAAGAGAUACAUGAUACAGCUCUUUUGUUUCUAUGUACUCUGGAAGAGUUUAAAAAGCAUGAGUUCAAUAGCAUAUGCUGUUUGAACUGGGAAACUCCAUGAUAAUGAUUUUUCAAGAGGACAGUAUCUAAAAGGCUCUAUCAAAUUUUCUCUGUUGAUUUUGUAGAAAAUCUUGUUUAUUCAUCAAGUGAUUGGAAUGGAUUCAUUAAAUUAGUAAAAGAUUAUUCACAUAGCAUCCCCCACUUUUCACUUGCAAAAUGGUAUGUAUUUGCUCUUAUCUGCCACAUUCGUUCUCAGCAUGGUCUGCUGCAUGUUUAAAUCUGCAGGUGGUGCGCACCAGUCUCAUGCCUGGCAUACUAAAAACAGCUGCACACAACAAAGAUCAUCCAAAACCUAUCAAGGUAAAUGGCAUUAUUUGCUGGUCCCUGCAAAUGCAUAAUUUAAAUUAACUUUGACAUCAUUGUAAUGUUUUACUACACAUCUCAAAAAACAGAAGUAUGAAGUGGCAUUAAAUGAUAGGCUCGUCUUCUGGGUUCCUUUCACUCGCAGAUGAUUUACUCAGAUGACAGUAACUUAUAGGUUUAUGAACAAUAAUAAUAACAUCUGCACCGAGUGCACUAAAGCGAGGGGCUUAAACGUGAAAUCAGAUCUCAGUGCACUAAUUCUGAAGUGUCUCAUGCUCGUUUGUAUGCCUUAUUUUGGAAUGUCUAUAACUAAAGAUGCUGAUGAAUAAGAGAUUCUAGCAUAGAACAGUGCAAAUAAGUGCACCAAAGGCCAAAGUUUACGAACUAAAAUGCCAUAACAAAUAACAUAACCAUGGUUAGAGAUAUAUAUAAUGCGAGAUAUACCAAACAAGCAGUUAAACUUCAACCAGUGAGGAAAUUUCUUGCUACUGAGUUUAUUAAAUGAAUGUAAUAUUGAGCUUCACGACUUCAUCAAUUAUGUAUAGAGAAUUGAGGCUUAACCUAUUUAUAAUCAGUUAUGCUAUGCUUCUACACCAAAAUGAUAUCCCACUACUCACUAAUCUAGGCUUAAGAAAAAACAAGCAGAGUUCUUAUGGUUCUUAAGAAAAGCAAAGCCCAAAAAGUAGACAGCAAAGGAUUAGAGCUUUCUGUUUCCUUUUCAAUAACAGUAUAUGCUUCAGCAUUCCUUUGCACUUAGUGUGCUUUUCCAGCACCUGAGAAUAAUGGCUGACUUUGGACUCCAGCAACUGCUAGUUUGCACUUUGCUUUGUUUUGUGCUUAAGCAUGCACUUUUGACCAACACAAGUGGUUGAGCAACUCUUGUGUCCUCACCACACACGUGGCAGUUGAGUGGUGCACAAAAAGUAGUAGGUAUCCGAGGACAUCAUCUGAAAGCCUCAAUGGUAGUAAUUCAAAUUUUAGAUUUACCAAAAAGUUGGUUCGGUUCUUCCCUUCCAAAAAUCAACUUUAAAUAAAAGUUCCCUACAUCGUUUCUCUAAAUGCUAUUGAUUUGCUUUCACCUUUCUCCUUUUUUUGUCAACUCUUAAGUUCUAAGAACUAAACUUGCGAGCAAUAGAGCUUGGAAAUGGGCUAAUGUGAAAUCCAUGUAUCAAUUGAUUGCUAGCCUCCUUUAAUGAAUAAGAACUGUAAUUUAUGACCAUAAAAAGCAAAAGAUUAGUAGGUGAGGACAGAAUUAAAUAGACAUUUAUUUUUUGUUUGGAGAUGGAAGUUUGGUUGAUUGGGAUGUGCUGAAUUUUGAACAUUGGUGACUUAGUGGUUUGUAGAUGGAGACUUUAGGGUUGUGGAUUAGGCUUUUAAGAUAUGACUUUGAGGUAUCUCAUAUAUUCUUGAUCCUUUUUUUAUUUAUUUAUUUACUUAGUCUGUUUGUCAGUGGAUUGUUUUUUGAAAGACGAGGUAACUUUAAACACCUCAAUUCAAAUGCUUGAAAUAAGAACCCAAGGUUCCUCUGUUUUGGCCUGGUGGGUUUAUGAUCACUGGGAUUGGUAGGUAUGCUUUGGUGAACCGGUCAAACUGAUUGAUUUGGGCCAGAUUUUCAUAGGACUCUGUUGUAGGCAUUAACAUUAUGCCUGUUGCUGAUUAUGUUGCCAUGCACACAUUCUGGAUAUUAAUGUAUGAUCAAAAAUUUCUGAUACUUCAUUAUCAUUUUAGAUAUUUGAGGUGGGUGAUGUAGUGCUAUUGGAUGAGUCAAAAAGAUGUUGGUGCAACAAAUCGUCGUCACUUGCAGCUUUAUAUUUGGUGCUAAUUCUGGGUUUGAGGUAAUUGUUCUUUCCCAUAGUAUAGUUGUCAUCUAAAAAUUUAUAUUUUUAGAAUACACGUGAUAUUUUUGAGAAUCUGACCUUUGCUUGAAAGUAUGCCAUGUUUCUUUGUGCUUGGAAACAGGUAGUGGUUUUUGACCCUUGUGUUAAUUUAUUUCUACAAGGUGGUGCAAGUACUAUACAAUCUUCAGUUUUGUGCUUGAUGUGUUUGUUGGUGAAGGCUUGAAGAGGGUGUCUCUGCAAUUGAAUUACAAGGAGAUUUUUUCUUUUCUGUGCAAAUUAUUGGAUACUACGACUAAUCUGAACAAUUAUUAUUUUUUUGUUGGAACAUCAACUGCAGCUCAAGCUGUGCCUAACAAACGUAAUUUUGAUAAUUGUAGGAAAGUUGAGCUCAGCUAGAGAAAAAUUCAUUUGAGCUUGCUUUAACAAUUAAACAAAAGUUCCUGGAAGUCUUACUAAUUUAUCAUUGUUUUUUUAUUAAUGCAUUUGGAUUGGGAAGGUUUCCAAUGAAAGGGGGAAACUGUGAUUAUUACAUAUUUUAAGGAGGUGGGAAGGGUGCAUACAUGUUAUUCUUUUUUCUAAGCAAGGUGAUGGCACAGGAGGUCAGAUCUUAGAUGGGAGAACUGUGCUGGUGGAGAUGGGGGAAGGAUAGGAAAUUUUGCUGUGAUGUUUUGGUAUGUAAAUGGGGGAGCACAUUUUUUUUUAAUCUGCCUGGAGGAAGGAACAAGGUGUUGGGCAGACUGCUUGGGUGUUUUUGAUGUUUGUUUGUGUUUACACAAUUGUGGAUGGCUCUAGUGGGCAUUAGCUAAUUACUGUGAUGGUUAAAAGUGUGUUAUUGAGGGACAUGAUAUUCCUUUCAAAACCUGAACCUUGAAAUUUAAAGAUUAAGCAUGUUAACUGUAUUUUAUAUUUUUACUUUUAUUUUUUUUUUGCCAUUAUGAAGAUUGUUUUUGUUUGCAUCUUUCAGUUUGGCUUUUGCAUUGAAAGCUUUUACUGCAGGCAUUUAUGUAAUUUAACAAAAGAUACUAUAAAAUAUUGGGGCUUAAUUUUGAUCAAAAGCAACAUUGAAACUGAAAUUGUUUGGAUGAAACUGUGGGAAGUAUUUGAUUUUGAGAAACUCCUUUUGCUUUUAUCUCUUUUUCUUUCCUAUCUUUUUAUUGAACCUUGUGUUUAUCUUUAACUUGGCCUUUGGGGAUAGAGUGGAGAAAAUUCAAAAUUUCAGCAUUUUGUUCUACACGAGAAUGUGUGCUUGUAGUUUCCAAAUCUAAGAGGUUUAAUUGUAACAUGGACAAUUUGGAAGGAUCUAUGCAUGAUAGUCUUGCAUCGGGAACUUCAUGAUUUGUUUAUUUUGUGAAUUUCAAGUAUCCAAAUCCAAUAAGCCCAUGAUAUAGCUUCUGGCCAUGGUUUACGAAAUUCAUUUGCUUUUCAUCAUCACUAUUUUCCAGGGCUUUAAAUUCAUCAUUCAUGCGAUUUUUCAAUCAUGAUAUUUAUAUUGCUGAAGCUGUAAGUGGCAGCCUCUAGAUUAAUUGACUUGAUAUUUUCUUUUGCAGCUGAUACAUGGUCUGGUAGACAGAAUUAUGGAAGUGACUGGAACACCUUUUGUAUCACCUGGGAUGAUGUGGGCUACUAUAUCAAAAGUGCAGAUGUAAGGCUUAUUGCAAUAAUUCUUGAAACUACAUUUCUGCAGUGUGAUAUAUAUGCAUUUUGACUGCUUGCUGUAGGAGCCUGAAUUUCUUCCCGGUAGACAAGCAAGCAUCAUUUACAAGGGGAAGCAGAUAGGGACCUUUGGUAUAGUGCAUCCAGAGUAUGUCACUUGACAUUCAAGUGAAUGCUUUGUAGGUCAAAUUUAAGGUGCAAGAACCAGCUGCCCUUUUCUUGGACUGAUUGAUAGUGAAUAGGCUACUAAGCUUGAAUAUCUUGAAUAUAAGUUCUAUACAGUAUUCAUAUAAAGCGAGCUCAUUUUGAGGCUGCAUCAUUUCAAUUUUUGGUGUGUGCAUUUGGUUAUACUAGUCUAAUUAUACCCAUUUAUAAUUCUGUAGACACAAGGUUCAUCACUUAAAUCUGUAUUCUUAAUCAUAUAUCAAGUUUCCAUGCCAAUUUUUACACCUGGUUCACUAUACAUAAAUGAGAAUGCUCUUUAGCUGAUUCUAUGAUCUGUAUGCAAUUUUUUGUUUCUCGAGGCAUUCUGUAAUUAACUGCCACUAGCACAGAACGUGACUAUAAUUCUUUGUUGUAUUUGAUGACUAUCAAUAUUUAGUAUCCUUUAUUUCUUUAUCUUGUGGAUAUCAGGUGUUGCAAAACUUUGACAUUCCAGAUCCGUGCUCCUUCGUCGAGCUUAACAUGGAGAUCUUUUUGUAGAUAGAUCUUCAUAUCAUCUAAAUAUGUAUCUCUUGUAUCCUUUAGAACUUCAUUCAUAGCAAGGCUACGCAAUUCAUACUCUAUUUCCUGUAAUCUAGAAUCUGCCACCUGGUAUUGAUGAUUAGUCCAGGAGUAGCGCUCAGUUUGAAUUUUUUUGCUUUUUUUUUUUUUUUCCGAAUAGAAAAACGGUUCUCAUAUAAAGCUACUUGUGCAACUGUUUCUGG